GUCUUUUUGAAAUAAUUUAAAGUCUAAUCUGCCCACUGAUAUGAAUUAAAGGGCUGCAGUAUAAUGACUGUACAAAGGUAGCAUAAUCAAUAGUUUUUUAAUUGAAAACUUGUAUGAAAGAUUUGAUGAAAUAUAAACUGUCUCUAAUUUAUAAAUUGAAUUUUAUUUUUUAGUAAAAAAGCUAAAAUAAAUUUAAAAGACGAGAAGACCCUAUAGAGUUUUAUAUUUAAUUUUAUUUAAAAAUUAUAUAAAAAUUAAUAUUUAAAAUAAAAUUAAAUAUUAUAUUGGGGUGAUAGAAAAAUUAAAUUAACUUUUUUUAAAGAUUAAACAUAAAUAAAUGAUUAAAUGAUCCAUAAAUAAUGAUUAUAAGAAAAAAUUACCUUAGGGAUAACAGCGUAAUAUUUUUUUUUAGUUCAAAUAAAAAAAAAAGUUUGCGACCUCGAUGUUGGAUUAAGAUAAAAUUUAAAUGCAAAAGUUUAAAAGUUUUGAUCUGUUCGAUCAUUAAAAUCUUACA
rnacentral:rRNA from 1 species